GUGCCAGCAGCCGCGGUAACACGUAGGAGGCGAGCGUUAUCCGGAUUUACUGGGCGUAAAGCGCGCGUAGGCGGCUUCGUAAGUCGGGCGUGAAAGCCCCCGGCUCAACUGGGGGAGGCCGCUCGAUACUGCGAGGCUUGAGGUUGGGAGAGGGGGGUGGAAUUCCCGGUGUAGCGGUGGAAUGCGUAGAUAUCGGGAGGAACACCAGUGGCGAAGGCGGCCCCCUGGCCCGUACCUGACGCGGAGGCGCGAAAGCGUGGGGAGCGAACGGGAUUAGAUACCCCGGUAGUCCACGCCGUAAACGAUGGGUGCUGGGUGUUGGCGGUGUCAAAUCCGUCAGUGCCGAAGCUAACGCGUUAAGCACCCCGCCUGGGGACUACGGCCGCAAGGCUAAAACUUAAAUGAAUUGACGGGG
rnacentral:rRNA from 1 species